rnacentral:rRNA from 1 species
GAUGAACGCUGGCGGCGUGCCUAAUACAUGCAAGUCGAGCGAACAGACGAGGAGCUUGCUCCUCUGACGUUAGCGGCGGACGGGUGAGUAACACGUGGAUAACCUACCUAUAAGACUGGGAUAACUUCGGGAAACCGGAGCUAAUACCGGAUAUAUAUUGAACCGCAUGGUUCAAUAGUGAAAGACGGUUUUGCUGUCACUUAUAGAUGGAUCCGCGCCGCAUUAGCUAGUUGGUAAGGUAACGGCUUACCAAGGCAACGAUGCGUAGCCGACCUGAGAGGGUGAUCGGCCACACUGGAACUGAGACACGGUCCAGACUCCUACGGGAGGCAGCAGUAGGGAAUCUUCCGCAAAGGGCGAAAGCUUGACGGAGCAACGCCGCGUGAGUGAUGAAGGUCUUCGGAUCGUAAAACUCUGUUAUUAGGGAAGAACAAAUGUGUAAGUAACUAUGCACGUCUUGACGGUACCUAAUCAGAAAGCCACGGCUAACUACGUG